AUGAACAAGGUGAAGAGCCAUUGCCAUGGGAGGCAGCACCGGGGAGGAUCCGGAGGGCUGAGCAGGAUGCUGAGGGAGCACAAGGCCAGGCUCUACAUCAUCCGCCGAUGCGUCGUCGCGCUCCUCUGCUACCACGACUAG
rnacentral:rRNA from 1 species